CGCUGGCGGCAGGCCUAACACAUGCAAGUCGAGCGGUAACAUUUCUAGCUUGCUAGAAGAUGACGAGCGGCGGACGGGUGAGUAAUGCUUGGGAACAUGCCUUGAGGUGGGGGACAACAGUUGGAAACGACUGCUAAUACCGCAUAAUGUCUACGGACCAAAGGGGGCUUCGGCUCUCGCCUUUAGAUUGGCCCAAGUGGGAUUAGCUAGUUGGUGAGGUAAUGGCUCACCAAGGCGACGAUCCCUAGCUGGUUUGAGAGGAUGAUCAGCCACACUGGGACUGAGACACGGCCCAGACUCCUACGGGAGGCAGCA
rnacentral:rRNA from 1 species